UCGAUGUGGAUUGAAACUUUUACGUCCUAUCAAAUCCACAAAGUAAUUAAAUAAAAAAUCUAAUACAACAAUAAUUUUACUAUUGAUCAAAUUUAAAAUUAGACAAGACCUAAAUAAAUUAAUAGUUUUAAUAUGUAUUCAGGAAUGUUACGUUAAUAGGUAUUAAUUCAAUCAACAUAUGUAUCAAAACAAAAAGAAUUUGGAAGCCAUAUAACCAUUUCAACCUUGCUCCAUAUCUCUCUCAAAUAAAGCUAUGUAAAAAUUGGAGUAAUAUGUGCUACACUGCUCUUUCAUCUAAAGAUGUCAUUCAAAGUUUCAAAAUUUAAUACACCAAAAAGAAUACAAUAUCUUGAUAUAUUUAUAUCAAUAUAUGAAAAUUAAAUAAAAUUUUAGAGUUAAUAAAUACAAAAGUUGACACUUAAGAGCUUAGAUGAUUGUUGUCAAUGUCCAUCUCUAACUAAAUUUCAACUUAUUCAUUUACUAAUAGUACAACGUUUAUAAAUUUUAAAAUUAUAAAUUUAUUCAUUUACUAAUAGUACCACGUUUAUAAAUUUUAAAAUUAUAAAAUUUGUUGGAUUAUUCUUAUCAACCUUGCAACUCUGCUGAUGCAAUAACUAAACACAACCAAAGCAAGAACCCAAGAAGAACUGAUACCAACGCCAGACACAACAGAGCAAGAUAAAGAACUUUAAAGACUCAAGACAAAGAUAACGUGGUUCGGUACCAAGGUACCUACAUCCACGAGCAGGAACAACAGAGCUUAGAGUUUUAUUAGCAGAUGAACAAAGAAGGUUACAAUGGAGUCUCACAGAGAGCAAGAACUUGAUUACACUCACACAGAGAGUUUCUUCUCUCAACAAACUCACACAAUGUUCUUGAUAACCUCACACACGCUGAUCAGCCCUCUUUCUGAAGCUUCCUUUUUAUAGCUAUCAGUUAGUACAGCUGGUUAUAACAGCUAAUUAAACCACCUGGGGACCCACCCUUGCUGACUCAGCUUCCACCUCAGCGUGUAUAACCGAAUAUAACUAAUUUG
rnacentral:lncRNA from 1 species